rnacentral:lncRNA from 1 species
UGGUGUGAUGGCGUGGAUCGAUCAGAGCAAAGGGGGGAGAAGACAAACCCUAACUUCAUGAAAUUCUCAAGAAUUGAAAGAGAUUAGGAGCCCAAACUAAUGCAUGAACUCGAAACCUCAAUCAUCUAAGCUUGUACAACAAGCGGAACGUGUCAAGGAGAGGUCAAGCAUAGGAGGAUAACGGGUCAAGAUAAGGCAAGAUGACAAAUACACUUAUUGGAGUACUCGAGGUAUGAGGUCGUUGGCUUCAUGAAGAAAUGGAGCUGGAUUUGGAUAAGAGUAUUUAAGAAAGCGCUUGGACAAUUCCACGACUACUUUAUAGAAUGCUCUACGAAAUUUUAUUAUAUAGUUUAAUGUUGAAUGGUAUGUUGAUAACUAAUGGUUUGGUUGUACGUGGUGUCCACAGGUAUCGCUUGGGUUUUCUCUACUUUUAUUGAAGUGAAGCGGACUUAGUUCGAGUUGAGAGCAAGGAUUGUACGGGCUAGAAUGGUCACAUAGUGUAACUCAUAUAGGUUUUGAAGUAUUAAUGUUAUAAAACGUUAUAAAUCCGUUUUAAUGAAUAUAUGGCAUUUCGCAUUUGAACUUUCAUGUGUUUGAUAUGUCUAUUAAAGAACGAAAUUUUUGGGCUCUUGUUUUCCGCUGCGUCGUAUUUUAAGUUAUUACGCGUUAGUCUUACAGGGAAUUGUUCUUAUUACGAACGGGUCAUGCCCGAAUUUUGUUAAAUAAUAGUAUGAUAAUAUUACAUUUUGGAAUGUGUAAUUUGGGCGUAACAAGUUGGUAUCAGAGCCCUGGUUUGAGAGAAUUAAGUACGAGAGUAUAAGUACUUGAACUCAAACCUGUGUGCUCUUGUGAUAAGGAACCCGUACAAUCCAUGACUCGAUCAAGAUCUAAAGGUAGAAAUGGAACGAAAAUGUGUAAGUAUGUAUUAGAUUAUGUAUUUGAAAGAAACUAAUAGUGUGUUAUGUGCAAGGUAAGCUUAAGAUCUUGAAGAGGAUGAUCCGUGAAUACAGAAUGGGAUGAACGCUAAGGCGGGCAAAGGUGCAAAUAGGCAAAUUAACCCCAGGUACACAUUACUAAUAUGUAUGAGUACCGAUGUCAAAAGAAAAAGGAAGGGGUCUCCUUGGGAGGGAAAUUAUUAAACGAAAGACAAUGAUGUGGUCUUGGGGAAGUUUUAGAAAUGUGCACGAAACUGAAACCCAUUUCUCGGGCAUAAGGCGAUGAUUACACGAAGGCACGAAACUAGUGUGUGAAUUGCGCACCUGGCCAGUACGCAAGAAGCAUAUGACGUUCGUGAGACCGUGGCAAUUAUUGCAGGUAUGUCCGGUAGAACUGGGUAGCAGGUGGGCGCUAUGUUGUAGCGAAUCCGAAAUAGCAAAUCCAUUGCGGAUUUGGUUAUGCUAACGAAGGUUAUGAAAAGUUAUGCGAGUCGACCGGUUCUAGCGAACAAGUCGAAUAAGAAUAAGCUACCAUCCGUUUUGAACGGGUGAUUUUGAAUGCUCUAAUGAAUGCUAGAAGCUUAAUCCGUUAUACGGAUUGAAAGAAGAAGUUAUGAUUAAAUGUGAAAAACCCAAUUAUUUGGGUAGUGGAAAAUGUGUAUGCUUAACUCUCGUUGAGAGUGUUUAUGCCAAACCCAAUUAUUUGGGUAGUGGAAAAUGUGUAUGCUUAACUCUCGUUGAGAGUGUUUAUGCCAAACCCAAUUAUUUGGGUAGUGGAAUGUGUAUGCUUAACUCUCGUUGAGAGUGUUUAUGCCAAACCCAAUUAUUUGGGUAGUGGAAUGUGUAUGCUUAACUCUCCUUGAGAGUGUUUAUGCCGAAACCCAAUUAUUUGGGUAGUCGAAUGUGUAUGCUUAACUCUCUUUGAGAGUGUUUAUGCCAAACCCAAUUACUUGG